rnacentral:rRNA from 1 species
AGUCAACAUGCCCAGGGGACGUGGAUAACCUCGGGAAACUGAGGAUAAACCGCGAUAGGUCAUCACUUCUGGAAUGGGUAAUGACUUAAAUCUAUAUGGCCCCUGGAUUGGACUGCGGCCGAUCAGGCUGUUGGUGAGGUAAUGGCCCACCAAACCUGUAACCGGUACGGGCUCUGAGAGGAGGAGCCCGGAGAUGGGCACUGAGACAAGGGCCCAGGCCCUAUGGGGCGCAGCAGGCGCGAAACCUCUGCAAUAGGCGAAAGCUCGACAGGGUUACUCUGAGUGAUUUCCGUUAAGGAGAUCUUUUGGCAUCUCUAAAAAUGGUGCAGAAUAAGGGGUGGGCAAGUCUGGUGUCAGCCGCCGCGGUAAUACCAGCACCCCGAGUGGUCGGGACGUUUAUUGGGCCUAAAGCAUCCGUAGCCGGUUCUACGAGUCUUCCGUUAAAUCCACCUGCUUAACAGAUGGGCUGCGGAAGAUACUAUAGAGCUAGGAGGCGGGAGAGGCAAGCGGUACUCGAUGGGUAGGGGUAAAAUCCGUUGAUCCAUUGAAGACCACCAGUGGCGAAGGCGGCUUGCCAGAACGCGCUCGACGGUGAGGGAUGAAAGCUGGGGGAGCAAACCGGAUUAGAUACCCGGGUAGUCCCAGCUGUAAACGAUGCAGACUCGGUGAUGAGUUGGCUUAUUGCUAACUCAGUGCCGCAGGGAAGCCGUUAAGUUUGCCGCCCGGGGAGUACGGUCGCAAGGCUGAAACUUAA